UACGUAGGGUGCAAGCGUUAUCCGGAAUCACUGGGCGUAAAGCGCACGUAGGCGGCUUUGUAAGUUAGAGGUGAAAGCCCGGGGCUCAACUCCGGAAUUGCCUUUUAGACUGCAUCGCUUGAAUCAUGGAGAGGUCAGUGGAAUUCCGAGUGUAGAGGUGAAAUUCGUAGAUAUUCGGGAAGAACACCAGUGGCGAAGGCGGCUGACUGG
rnacentral:rRNA from 1 species